CCUACGGGGGGCUGCAGUGGGGAAUUUUGCGCAAUGGGCGAAAGCCUGACGCAGCGACGCCGCGUGGGGGAUGAAGGCCUUCGGGUUGUAAACUCCUGUCAUCCGGGAAAAACCGUUGCCUGGUGAAUAAUCAGGCAAUCUGAUGGUACCGGAAGAGGAAGCCACGGCCAACUCUGUGCCAGCAGCCGCGGUAAUACAGAGGUGGCGAGCGUUGUUCGGAUUCACUGGGCGUAAAGGGCGCGUAGGUGGUUCGAUUAGUCGGAGGUGAAAUCCCUCGGCUCAACCGAGGAUCCGCGUCCGAUACUGUCGAACUUGAGUGCAGGAGAGGAGAGCGGAAUUCCCAGUGUAGCGGUGAAAUGCGUAGAUAUUGGGAGGAACACCAGUGGCGAAGGCGGCUCUCUGGACUGCCACUGACCCUGAGGCGCGAAAGCUAGGGGAGCAACCGGGCUGAGAUACACGGGGAGUCAGAGCGGGAGAGGGUGGGGGUGGGGAGGGGGGG
rnacentral:rRNA from 1 species